AACCAUAAUUAAUCGUGCGGAUUAAUAAUCCAGGACUCUAAAACCGUGUUGCUCUAAUCGACCUUCCAGUUGGUUCUGAGCGUCAAGUCCAUCGGAGAGAUAAAAUUUUUGUUCAUCUUAAUGCCCUUUUGUGUAAUAGACUUAGCUGAUUAUACAAGGGCUGGUAGAACGUACAGUU
rnacentral:snoRNA from 1 species